rnacentral:rRNA from 1 species
GAUGAACGCUGGCGGCGUGCCUAAUACAUGCAAGUCGAGCGAACAGACGAGGAGCUUGCUCCUCUGACGUUAGCGGCGGACGGGUGAGUAACACGUGGAUAACCUACCUAUAAGACUGGGAUAACUUCGGGAAACCGGAGCUAAUACCGGAUAAUAUAUUGAACCGCAGGGUGCAAUAGAGAAAGACGGUUUUGCUGUCACAUAUAGAUGGAUCCGCGCCGCAUUAGCUAGUUGGUAAGGUAACGGCUUACCAAGGCGACGAUGCGUAGCCGACCUGAGAGGGUGAUCGGCCACACUGGAACUGAGACACGGUCCAGACUCCUACGGGAGGCAGCAGUAGGGAAUCUUCCGCAAUGGGCGAAAGCCUGACGGAGCAACGCCGCGUGAGUGAUGAAGGUCUUCGGAUCGUAAAACUCUGUUAUUAGGGAAGAACAAAUGUGUAAGUAACUAUGCACGUCUUGACGGUACCUAAUCAGAAAGCCCCGGCUAACUACGUG